AAGGAAUAUUGCUCAAUGGGAGAAAUCCUGAAGCAGCAACGCCGCGUGGAGGAUGAAGGGUCUAUGACUUGUAAACUCCUGUAAAGAAGGAAAAAAUUCCCAUUUGAUGGGAGAUGAUGGUACUUCUGGAGUAAGCCCCGGCUAACUACGUGCCAGCAGCCGCGGUAAUACGUAGGGGGCAAGCGUUGUCCGGAUUUAUUGGGUUUAAAGGGUCCGUAGGCGGACUUAUAAGUCAGUGGUGAAAGCCUGUCGCUUAACGAUAGAACUGCCAUUGAUACUGUAAGUCUUGAGUAUAUUUGAGGUAGCUGGAAUAAGUAGUGUAGCGGUGAAAUGCAUAGAUAUUACUUAGAACACCAAUUGCGAAGGCAGGUUACCAAGAUAUAACUGACGCUGAGGGACGAAAGCGUGGGGAGCGAACA
rnacentral:rRNA from 1 species